UACGUAGGGGGCAAGCGUUGUCCGGAAUCAUUGGGCGUAAAGCGCACGUAGGCGGCUUUCUAAGUCAGGGGUGAAAUCCUGGAGCUCAACUCCAGAACUGCCUUUGAUACUGGAGAGCUUGAGUCCGGGAGAGGUGAGUGGAACUCCGAGUGUAGAGGUGAAAUUCGUAGAUAUUCGGAAGAACACCAGUGGCGAAGGCGGCUCACUGGCCCGGUACUGACGCUGAUGUGCGAAAGCGUGGGGAGCAAACAGG
rnacentral:rRNA from 1 species